rnacentral:rRNA from 1 species
AUUGAACGCUGGCGGAAUGCUUUACACAUGCAAGUCGAACGGCAGCACGGGGCAACCUGGUGGCGAGUGGCGAACGGGUGAGUAAUACAUCGGAACGUGCCCAAUCGUGGGGGAUAACGUAGCGAAAGUUACGCUAAUACCGCAUACGAUCUACGGAUGAAAGCGGGGGAUCGCAAGACCUCGCGCGAAUGGAGCGGCCGAUGUCAGAUUAGGUAGUUGGUGGGGUAAAGGCUCACCAAGCCAACGAUCUGUAGCUGGUCUGAGAGGACGACCAGCCACACUGGAACUGAGACACGGUCCAGACUCCUACGGGAGGCAGCAGUGGGGAAUUUUGGACAAUGGGCGCAAGCCUGAUCCAGCCAUUCCGCGUGCAGGAUGAAGGCCUUCGGUUGUAAACUGCUUUGUACGGAACGAAACGGUCUGCCUAAUACGGCGGCGUAAUGACGGUACCGUAAGAAUAAGACACCGGCUAACUACGUGCCAGCAGCCGCGGUAACU